rnacentral:rRNA from 1 species
GCGAGUCAUUGUAGCAAUACAAGGCAGACGGCUCAGUAACGCGUAGUCAAUCUACCCUAUGGACGGGAAUAACCUCGGGAAACUGAGAAUAAUGCCCGACAGAACAUUAUACCUGGAACGGUUUAUGUUUCAAAUGAUUUAUCGCCGUAGGAUGGGACUGCGGCCUAUCAGUUUGUUGGUGAGGUAAUGGCCCACCAAGACUAUUACAGGUACGGGCUCUGAGAGGAGUAGCCCGGAGAUGGGUACUGAGACACGGACCCAGGCCCUAUGGGGCGCAGCAGGCGAGAAAACUUUGCAAUGUGCGAAAGCACGACAAGGUUAAUCCGAGUGGUUUCUGCUAAAGAAACCUUUUGCUAGUCCUAGAAACACUAGUGAAUAAGGGGUGGGCAAGUUCUGGUGUCAGCCGCCGCGGUAAAACCAGCACCUCAAGUGGUCAGGAUGAUUAUUGGGCCUAAAGCAUCCGUAGCUCGUUUUGUAAGUUUUCGGUUAAAUCCAUACGCUUAACGUAUGGGCUGCCGGGAAUACUGCAUAACUAGGAAGUGGGAGAGGUAGACGGUGCUCGGUAGGAAGGGGUAAAAUCCUUUGAUCUAUUGAUGACCACCUGUGGCGAAGGCGGUCUACCAGAACACGUUCGACGGUGAGGGAUGAAAGCUGGGGGAGCAAACCGGAUUAGAUACCCGGGUAGUCCCAGCUGUAAACUAUGCAAACUCAGUGAUGCAUUGGCUUGUGGCCAAUGCAGUGCUGCAGGGAAGCCGUUAAGUUUGCCGCCUGGGAAGUACGUACGCAAGUAUGAAACUUAAAGGAAUUGGCGGGGGAGCACCACAAGGGGUGAAGCCUGCGGU